UUUGGGCGGCAUUUCUUUUUCUCUUUAUUACACGCUCUCUCUCUCUUUCUCUAAUAAAAACCCUAAUUCUCCUUUUCCUUCGUUCAUCGCCCCUUUUCAUUAUCAUUGAGUUUCUUUUGUCUUCCCCUUUCAUAAUCCUCUGUAAACCCUAGAGGAGUCUACACCAGUUCUUCGAGGUUACUGAUUCAAUCCGAUGGAAUGAUGGAUCUUUAUUCAGGCAUUUGGAGAGAGGGAAAUGGUCGAUAUAUGGCAAUAAGAGAGAGGGAGUGAGUGUUAGAGAUAGAGACGGUGGUGGCUGUUGUUGCGACACUACUCGCCAUCGGCGACGAGGAUGACCAGCGGUGGUCAAGGGUUUUGAAUAGCGGUCUUGCUUAUGACCACAGUGGCCUCCGGCAAGCGUUACAUAGUCGAUUGGCUCCCGCUUCGUUUUUUCCCAACAUGUGUCGAUUUCUUCAUCUCGAAGGGUUUUUAGAAUCCUCCAAUUGAUUUGAUGUUGAAUGUUCAUUUGUAAGGUAGAUGGAUCCAAGUUUUGCCACGGUUUUAGUCUACCCAAAAUCCUUUUAUUUGGUGAGUUUUCAAGUCUGGAUGCUAUGUUAUAUGUUGGUGGAAUCAUAGAGGACCACUGAGAAUCUACCACAAAGUUUGCAAUUAUGGUUGGUGCAUAAGUUAAUACAACAGGAAAUCAAAUAGUUAUAGUUGAAAACACAAGAAGGUUCCUCAUUCGACAAAGGUAUGUAUCUCUAUCAUAUUACCUACAUUGAGUUGUAUAUCAGAAGUCUCAUUUUCUGAAUAUACGUUCACGUCUUCUGCAUGUUUCAAGUUUUUCUUGGUCAUAAAGACCAUAUUAAAGUGUGUUUGGGUCCUUUGACAUGUUUCAAGUGCAUUUUGAUCAUAAAGGCCAAUUUAAAAUGUGUCGGAGUCCUUUAACCCGUUUCGAGUGUGUUUUGUUCAUAAAGACCAUAUUAAAGUGUGUUCGGGUCUUUUGACCCAUUUCAAGGAUGUUUUAGCCAUAAAGAACUAUUUGUUGUGUGUUUGGGCCUUUUGACCCAUUUCAAAUGUGUUUUGGUCAUAAAUACCAAUUUAAAGUGUGUUCGGGUCCUUUGACCCAUUUUAAGUGGUUUUGGUCAUAAUUACCAAUAUCAAGUGUCUCUAGAAGGUAAUUUACCUAUUUAAAGCUGUCAAAAGAAGAGGUAAGGCAUUUAUGUGUUAUCGGUGAUUAUAAAGUUUUGAUUUAUAUGUUUUAAGAUGUCAAAAUAAGUGGCAAAUGAUUGAAAUACAGGUGCAUUUUUAUGACUACAAAGUAUUGUUUGGUAUAGUUUUUUGUUACAUAUAGUGACAUUUGUUUGGAUUGUAGAGUUUUAAUUAACUGCUACGUAACUAAAUCCUAAAAUCUUUUGGUUGAGUUGAUGUGUUAUGGUUUUUGUUUAACUUCAGAAAUUAGUAUUGUUGUGGUUUUUGUUUAAAACGAGUUUACGUUAACCCGCGCGUUGCGGCGGGAUAUUAACUAUGAAUUUUUAAUAUCAUUAUAAGAUAUGCGAAAAUUCUUAAGUUUAUGCAAGCAUUAUUUUCAUUUUUCUUAAUUUUGAAUAAAACGUAUUAUGAGGUAUUCAAUUGAAUCUGAUUAUUUUUUUGAUUCUUAAAUGAUUAGGAAUAAAUUUUUGAUUCUUAAAUGAUUAGGAAUAAAGAAACCGUAAAGUUUAAAAUAAAAGGUAAAAAAUAAUUAAUAUAUUUACGAACUCUCUCCACAAUUCAUUUUCAUAUAGUUUUUUCUUCAUCUUUGUCGAAACGGUCGGUCUAUCUAGUGAUUUUGAAUAGCGAAGCAAAUUUGUUCGGAAUGCCUAACUGAACCAGCACCUCCUUUUCCUUCACCAUUCAUAACCGUAAUGAUUGAAAAACCGAAAUGAUUUGGUACUUAUUAAUACUAUUUAUACUAACAAAAAUAAACGACGCAACUCUUGCACCUUAAAUUUAUUUCUUUGACUAUGACUUUUUAUUAUUCAAAAAAAAAAAAAAAAGACAAAACAAACCAAUCCAUCUUGUUGAAAACGAUCACUAGUAGGAUUAUUCAAAUUAAUUGUGCAUCUAAAUCAUCUCUCCAUUGUUAUGUUCAUCAUACGGUUACAGAUAAAGGAAACAAUCAAACAAUUUCACAUCUAAAUAAAUCCACGAAUCCGUCGUGUUGAAAACAAAUACUUGUAGGAUUUUUUAAUCAAUUAUGCAUCUAAAAACUGUAAUCCAUCUCUUCGCUAUUAAUAAUAUCCUAUUAUGUUCAUCAUAUGGUUACGGAUUCAAUCAUACAAUUUCACAUCUAAACAGAUCAAAUUACACAAAAACAAAUAUAAUCAAGAACAAAUAUGGAGAAAAAGAUGACACAUACAUUGAAAGAUAUGAAGCAAAACAGGAAAGAUGAGAAUAUGAGAGAAUAUUGCUCUGAAUUGUUGUUGAAAAUGGUGAAUAUAUCACUUAUAAAUUCAAACUAUCUCUUUGUUUUCAACCUUUACAAUGGAGAGAAAGACGAUGACGGAUACGAAGAACACCGGAACCAAAAGAUUAAUCGGAAUCGACUACGGUGCCAUUGAUGCCAUCCCCAGCAGCAGUAAUAACAAUCAUCCCAACACCAAAAUCAUGGCGACCAUUGAUCCAAUGCCCCAACCGUAUACGAUGGUUUCCAUAUCUUCUUCCUGUAUUUGUCAGUAAUUUAGUUUCUUCGGUCCGGCGAGUGAUUAUCAUGUGAAUCUCGUUUGAACGUGUGCAUGUAAGUUUAUGUAUGUAUAUGUUCGGGUAUGUGCCAAUUCGCAGGGGUACGAUGGGUGCAUGACAGUUUUUGCAAUGGUUAGUAAGUUAAUUGUGGUAAUCCGGUAACGUGUGAGUUUAGCGGUUAUACGUUUGGAGUGCAAAACACGUGGCUUGUAGCCGGUGAAUGGUAAGCAAAGUUGCUUUUUGUAUAAUAUAUAAAUUAUAUUUUAGAUCAAAUUGUGAUAAUAUUUAUAUAUAGAAAUCUUAUUAUUUAAUUUUAAGGCGUAAUGAUGACUUAUUUUGCUGUAUCUACUUUUAUAUUUUACUAUUGUUUUUUUAUCUUUUAUGGCAGGGGCUGCAUACUUAAAGUUAAAGGUCUUAUUACAAAGAACUAAAACAACCUUAGCCAUUUGUAAUUUGAAGAUUGAAAAUAAUAUUAUCUUGAUGUACUAUUUUGCAGGAUAAGGCAUAGAAUUGAGGUCGAAACGGAGUCCAUACAGUUAGUGAGUUUGCUUGAGAACAAGUUCCUGAAAUUCUGGAGAUUAAAGGACUAAUUGAUAAUGGUAGAUAAAGAGGGCUGCGAAUGAUUAGGGUCACUGCCCUACGCCCUCAUAAUAGUUUUUUUUUUUUUUUUGUUAGUGGUUUGUUGGUCUACUUAAUUUCGAGUAUUGUAUAGUGUUGAGUGAUUAUAGGACUAAACUGAUAGGUUUUUGUGUGUGAUAAGCAUAAAACACCAUGAACAUCAACUAACCUACCAUGUACAGGAGAGUAGAUAGUGGGACGAAACUUUGAUAGCUUUGAAUUUUGCUUCAUCAGGAAUGCAGCCACUACAUUCAUUAAUCAAAAUUUGUAUUUUUUAAAUUUAAACUACGAUCCUCAUUUCAAUAAAGUAUAU
rnacentral:lncRNA from 1 species